AUUUAUUAUCAUGCAUUCAACUCCUCAGGUAUUUAAUGACAAGCUACUCAUAGCUUGUCUCAGAGCACCAGGAAUUCUGAGUCACAGUCGGGGUGUAAAGCGGGGCCCUGCAUUCAGGGAGCUGAGUCUGACUGGGAACUGGAAAGGCUCCCCUACCUCCCAUGACCGUCUGUGAGCUUCACCUGUGAGUGGCAGGUGCGCGUGGAGUCAGUUCCCCUCCAUGCCCGCCUGCAUUCCUACCCGGAGACCUCCGGCCGCGGUGGGAAUUGCCCUGCUGUUUUCAUUACUGCAGGUUUUUCUUCUGUAUUUCUGAACCCCUCAUAUCUCAGGGAAGGAAAUCCAGGGAGAAGUAUCUGUUGCGUCCCCAUCUGUUGCAUUUUCUGAGUCUCCACGUUAAUGAAAGAGCAGCCAUCCAGUUUCCUGCAGUGCCGAGAGUCCUCGGGACCUGUCGUUGUUCUAAAGGACAGAGGACACUGUUCAGAUGUGACGUCUGUCGCCAUUUCUGUCUCCUCUUAGCAAACUUUAAAGCCCGGAAAACCUUCUAUUUUCAAAGUCGGAAAAUUAGAUUACAGCAAAGCCAUAACCCUGUAUCUCUCCUAACCUUGCUCCCUAAUCAGGAAUAAAAGGGAAAUUAUCUGAAGAAUUAUCUAAUAUGUUCUUCAUCAGGAGAUCAUAAUUAAAUCAUAAUUGCCAUCCGGCAGCAAAAUGUGAUGAAAUUACCAGGGCAAACUAUUAAUUACUUCAAAGAUCCAUUUUAAUCGUAAACAGUUUAAUAUACCUCUAUAAAAAUUGCCAUCAGGCAGGCGCUUAAUGAGGGAGCUGUGAAGGCUCUGCUGUCCUUGGUGACUGGAGGAUGUUUUCACGAGAUCUUCACGGUUAUUUUCCAUUUCCAGUUCCUUAGGCCUGGCUCUUACAUUCUCUAAUACUAUGGGGAGUAGAAAUUUCUGCGUCCUCCUGGGUGGAGUGUGUGAGUGUGUGCAUACAUAUGUGUUUAUAUGUGUGUGUGUGCACUGUGUAGGUGAUAUGCGUGUGUGUGCGUGCAUGUGUAUGUGUGUAUAUGUAUGAGUGUGUGCUAGUGUGUGCAUUUGUAUAUGCAUGUGUGUAUGCAUGGGAAUGUGUGUAUGUGUGUGCAUAU
rnacentral:lncRNA from 1 species